rnacentral:rRNA from 1 species
GACGAACCGUCCAAACGUUAUUCGGAAUCACUGGGCUUAAAGGGUGCGUAGGCCGUGCGGUAAGUUGGGUGUGAAAUCCCUGGGCUUAACCCAGGAAUGGCGCCCAAUACUGCCGGACUUGAGGGAGACAGAGGUAAGCGGAACUGAUGGUGGAGCGGUGAAAUGCGUUGAUAUCAUCAGGAACACCAGUGGCGAAGGCGGCUUACUGGGUCUCUUCUGACGCUGAGGCACGAAAGCUAGGGUAGCGAACGGG